ensembl:lncRNA
AUUGAACUCCACUUCCUCCAAGACCUGCAUGCCUACAGCGUGGCCCUUGCAAACUGCUCGAUUGUUCCAUGGAGAGUGUCAGCCAGGGGACUUUUCUGGAACAGAAUAAGACCAGAUUCUGAGGAUGCAGAGCUGGUAGGAUGUGACUAGUAUGUUGCUGGGUUUGGGGAUUUUCUGUCCUAACUUCUGGGAGGGAUCACUAAAGCAAAACAAAAUACAUGACAUGUGCCCAAAGUGAGAGGAUCCAGUACCAGCUCACAUGUCCAGACAGCAGCCAGCCUCCGGGGCGGGCCGGGGGAGCCGAAGAUCCGUCUCCUUGAGGAAUUAUGGCUCCGGCGGGCUGUAUCGGCACCUCUGCCACGAGUGUGAGGAAGGACGUCUGAGCUGAGGGGCAGUAGGUGGUGAUGGGUGGUCUGCUGACAAUCAGUGGGGUGGGGACCCUGAGGAUAGAAUGUGCAGAAACCUCCUCUGGGAUGGGCUGGAGGAAGGGGGAGAAAGUACGGGCUUUCAAACUAGACCAUCUUAAGAUCCCACCUAGCCAUCCUGUAUCCAGCUGAUCUCCGGCACAGAUGUUUUAUUUCCUCACUUAUAAAAUCAGGAUGUGAGUCCUUAUUUUCUGGGUCACUGUGAAGACCAAAUAGAGAUGAUGUAAAGCCUCUUCCUCCUCCUCGUAACACAAGGACACUGGGUUCCUGUACCCAAGUCAAAAUCAAGAAUCACGGUGACUCAGAUGGUAAAGAUGGAGAAGGAGAUGGCAACCCACUCCAGUAUCCUUGCCUGGAGAAUUCCAUGGACUGAGGAGGCUGGUGGGCCCCAGUCCAUGGGGUCACAAAGAGUCGGACAAACUGACACCAUGUCUGGUGAGCCCAGAGGGAGCGAGCGGGACAAGGAGAGAGCACCAAACGAAGGGCUGGGAGGGGGCCUAAGCCUCAUCCCUUUUGGUGGCGGGCUCUUGGCCCCUCUUUGGGGCCGGCUUCCUCCAGGUUAAACCCAGGCAGGGGACUGACAUUUGUGAGGCUCUUCAGCCCCUAUCGUUGAGUGGGCUCUGGUCCCGACCUUAGACUCGCAGCUCUUCUCUGAAAAGCAGAUGGGGUAUUUUUGGCUUCUCGGUAUGUGUUUCUUCCACACCCUUCUCCAAAAUGUUUUCCUGUGCUAAUUUAUUUGGCUAAGGAGGUUUGUGGUGAGAGACACCAAACAGGAAAUAGCUGUCAUAGCUGCUGUCUGCAACGUUUGUUUUUUUAAGGCUUUCUCCUGUCUAGCUCACCUUCUCUGUGUCGCUCAGUAUUGAUUGAAGGGCAGGGUAAGUGGAAGGGGAAAGGGAAACACAUUUUUAGAAGGGAACAUUCUCCUUCUAGUUCAAAGUUUACUGAAGGGUAAGGAUUGUUAUGCACUAUGGCCGAUUAGGUGGCUCCUCCUUUCUGCCACAGGGCCUUUGCACAUGCACCUGCCUCCGCUGGAAUACCUGCUGUCCUGGUUUUUGGUUAGUUCUGCUUCUUUGGGAUCAGCUCGAUCACCACUUGCUCAGAAGGCCUUCUGGGCCCCCAGUCUAGGUCGGCCCUUGGUGCUUUUCUCAUAGUGCCCUCCUCGAAUGCACUCAUCUCGGUUUACAAUGACGUGUUCACUUGGGUGAUUUAUUUUUCAUAGGUUUCUUCAGAUUCAUUUUUUUGGCCACACCUCUCAGCCAGGUGGGUUCCCUGACCAGGGAUCAAACCCAUGACCCUGCAUUGGAAGCAUGGAGUCUUAACCACUGAACUGCCAAGAAAGUCCCCAGGUGACUUUUUUUCGGUUAAUUUCUCUCCUCUCUCUUACAAGCAGGCCAUAAGCCCCGCGAACGCAGGGACCAUGCCUAGCUUGGCAUGCCAUGUGCUCUAGUGCACAGCCUGGCGGCAGGCACACAGGGAGUGCCCAGAUCGUUUCUGUUGACUGACUGAGUGAAACGUCUCACCUCUCACAGGCAGGCAGGCAGGCUGGGCGUGACACAAUGUCUGGGGUGCAUGUUCACCUAGUCCCCUCUGCUUGAUCGCUGGGCCACCGUCCUCUCGCAGGUCACUUCUGCCUUCCCUUCUCUAGGGCCUCGCUCUCAUCCUCCCAAAGCAUCUGAAGCAUUAACCCAGGGCCAAGACUGGUGCUGGGGGCCCAUUAGAAUCCUUUCCCCAGCUCCUUAUGGUUUAUCGGGGGAGAAGAGAUGUCUGAGGACAGAGAACUUUGAGGCAAGAAGGAAUGACUCUCUAACGGGGGAACCUCAGCCACUGUGAUUGGCAGUGAGGGGAAGAGGAGCACUUCCUAGCCACUCCAGGGAGAUAGAUGUCUGCUGCUAGGCCGACUCUGAUCCUGACACAAUAUUUACCUUUUCCUAGAGCUCGGAUUGGAGUUGGUGAUGGACAGGGAGGACUGGCGUGCUGCGAUUCAUGGGGUCGCAAAGAGUCGGACACGACUGAGCAACUGAACUGAACUGAACUGAACUGAGAACUCGGCUUCUUAAGUCAGAGAAGUCUUCUGAACCCUGCUGCGGCCAGGACGUGGUGUCAGCACACCGUGGAUUCCUCCCAUUUUCAAUCUCGCUUGAGAAAGGGGAAGAAACGGCUUCUGCUCGGCUGGCGGCUGGAUGGUGUUUUUAGACUGCACAAGACUGUGAUCUGAAAGGCCACAGUGGUUAGUUUGCCUUCAUGAGAAUCCUGUCUUCUCAAUCCCACCACACCCGCAAGUCCAGGAUUAUUUUCAAGGUGUGUUAAGCCCCGUUUUUG